UCUCUCGGUUGCCGGAAGAUGGGGGGGAAAUCACCUUAAGUGCUUGCUGCCGGGUUUUGUGACGAGAGUAAGGAUGGAGAAGCGUGAACGGUCUUGGGAGACGUGCAUUACCUUGACCUUAAGAGAUGAUGCGUCCUGAUUGGCUAGCUCUGCUGCCCUCUCCCCGGGGGUCAACAGGGUCAUAAUUACAGAAGAAAUAGAAAAGUAGGGGAUCAAACAAGCCCGCCGCAGUGGCGGGCGCUGGCAGGGGAAAGCUGGGCCUCCGUGCUUGCCUCUAGGUGGGCUCGAGUCCCCUGGGUCGGCCCGCCCAGGCGAGGCGCGUGACCCGCGCCAGACCGCGCGGGGGGCGGGGCUAGAGGGCAGUGGGCGUGGCCGUCCACGUGCGCACAUUUGUCUCCUGUGCUCGCGGGCGGACAGGUAGGGGCAGGCGUGGAGUCGGGGUGUCCCGGGGCGGGAAGACUCCCCGUGAAGCCCCCGGGCAACGCCCCUGCCCCGCGCCCGUGGCCGAGUAGGGAGCGCAGGGGUCGAUUUCUGGAGGAGGAGGCGCGUGCGUCUCCGUGGCUGUCCGGCUGGGCGACGACGGGCCCGCACACCGGCAGCGGUGUUUCUGCUCCAUCAAGGACCCCCAGAGCGCAGGCAUCCGGUCCAGGCGGCACCGCAGGGCGCCUCGUCCAGGCUUCUGGGGGAGCUUCUCUGGACCGCGAAGGCCGCCCCGUUGGGAAACCGCGCACGCCACACGAAUGCACUUGGAUAGAUUCGAGGAGAGGAGCCGUAAAAUCGAAAAUCAUGGCAAGUGCCAGGGUGGAGUCCAGGGGCCUCCAGCGGCCAGCCCCGCGCCCGGGUGGCUGGCCUGAUUAGCCGCUCCUGAUCGGCGGCAGCAGGCUCAGUAACCACAGCGACCGCCUCCCCGCGGCCCCGCCCCGCCCCGGGACGCCCCGCCCCCGCCCCCCCAUUGGCCGUCGGCCCCAGCGCUCCCCGAGGCCACCAAUCGCCGGCCGCGUCUCCUUACAAAGGGUGGAGAGAGCGGCCUGCCGAAAGCCAGGCUCGGUUUGCGAAAGCCAGGCCGAUGGCUUAAUAGAAAUUAACGUGAACUCCAAUCAGAGAAGCAAAACGCGAGCAGGAUUAUCCGACCGUAUAUAUGCAAGGGAGCAGCCCCUAAUAGCCGGCCCUGGAAAGUUUCUCCAGUGCUGUUCUGAGAUAGCCCAACAGCAACCUGAACUGAUUCACCAUCUGCAUAGAAACCAGAAGUUGAUGAGCAAAGUCCAAAUUCUUUUGGCACCAUGUUCAAAGCAGAGCCUUCCCACCCCCUCAUUAACUGCUACUGUGCAUUCAUUUAACAAACACUUGGAGCCCCUGUUCUGUGCUGGCACUGGGGGAACACUGGAAUCAGUCCCUCAGAACCUCUGGGCAAGGGGAUGAAAUUGAGUUUCCAGACCUACAAAGCUGUGAACUGGAUCCUGUCCCACGUCCUGCCCACCUGUGAGGUCCUAUGAGCCGCAGGUGAGAGCGCUCAACCCCUCUCGGCUGCAACCAUCUGCUUUAAACCAUUCUCAUGUUUGUUGAACGAGUGAAUGAUCAAAUGAAAAAAUAAAUAGAUGGCUAGCUGGUUGGCUGGUUGGUUGGUUGGAUGGAUGGAUGGAUGGACGGAAGGAACCACUGUGUGUGUGUGUGAGUGUGUGUGCAUAAUAG
ensembl:lncRNA